rnacentral:rRNA from 1 species
ACGAAAGUUUGACUAAGUUAUAUUAAUUAGGGUUGGUAAAUCUCGUGCCAGCCACCGCGGUCAUACGAUUAACCCAAGCUAACAGGAGUACGGCGUAAAACGUGUUAAAGCACCACACCAAAUAGGGUUAAAUUCUAACCAAGCUGUAAAAAGCCAUGAUUAAAAUAAAAAUAAAUGACGAAAGUGACCCUACAGUAGCCGACGCACUAUAGCUAAGACCCAAACUGGGAUUAGAUACCCCACUAUGCUUAGCCCUAAACACAGAUAAUUACAUAAACAAAAUUAUUCGCCAGAGUACUACUAGCAACAGCUUAAAACUCAAAGGACU